rnacentral:rRNA from 1 species
CUGGCUCAGGACGAACGCUGGCGGCGUGCCUAAUACAUGCAAGUCGAGCGCAGGAAGCUGACGGAACUCUUCGGAGGGAAGGCAGUGGAAUGAGCGGCGGACGGGUGAGUAACACGUAAGGAACCUGCCUCAAGGAUUGGGAUAACUCCGAGAAAUCGGAGCUAAUACCGGAUAGUUCAACGGACCGCAUGGUCCGCUGAUGAAAGGCGCUUCGGCGUCACCUUGAGAUGGCCUUGCGGUGCAUUAGCUAGUUGGUGGGGUAACGGCCCACCAAGGCGACGAUGCAUAGCCGACCUGAGAGGGUGAUCGGCCACACUGGGACUGAGACACGGCCCAGACUCCUACGGGAGGCAGCAGUAGGGAAUCUUCCACAAUGGACGAAAGUCUGAUGGAGCAACGCCGCGUGAGUGAUGAAGGUUUUCGGAUCGUAAAACUCUGUUGUAAGGGAAGAACACGUACGAGAGGAAAUGCUCGUACCUUGACGGUACCUUACGAGAAAGCCACGGCUAACUACGUGCCAGCAGCCGCGGUAAUACGUAGGUGGCAAGCGUUGUCCGGAAUUAUUGGGCGUAAAGCGCGCGCAGGCGGCCUUUUAAGUCUGAUGUGAAAGCCCCCGGCUCAACCGGGGAGGGCCAUUGGAAACUGGAAGGCUUGAGUACAGAAGAGAAGAGUGGAAUUCCACGUGUAGCGGUGAAAUGCGUAGAGAUGUGGAGGAACACCAGUGGCGAAGGCGACUCUUUGGUCUGUAACUGACGCUGA